CUCAUUUGUCAAUAGGCAAAGAGACACCUUGUUGAUGGUGGCAUUCAUUUAUCAGUCAGGGCAUAGCAGAUGGCAGUCCUUUGUUCAUCCUAGCUUGAUGCUUGGCUCAGUAACCAAUGAUUUAUGCCUAGGACUCAUAA